rnacentral:hammerhead_ribozyme from 1 species
GUACUGCUGAGGAGUCUUAUAAUAGGACGAACCGGCCGUCCAGUAC